CUGGAAAGAGAGCUGUUCCCUGAGGGCGUGGAAAGUACCUUUCUCCACACCUGCCCUCUGCGUCCUUCGCAUCUGCCCCCUGGAAAGAAACAAAACUCAGCCUCGUAAAUGAAAUCACAGCGCGAGUGGCCCUGCUGCUACAGCCCAGCGGGAGAAAAUGCCGGAAGUCUGGACACCUUUCUGAGGACUCAGAGGUGGCACGUCCUCAGUGCUGACCCAUCCACCCAGAUGCAGGUGAGAAGAAAGUUGGCUGAAGGCACGGCUGCAGGAGACAGCUCUUUCUGCCUUCCGGCCGUCCAGUGGAAAUGCCUUUUUUCUGAGACAGCCACCUGCUGAGAAUGUCUGACUUCAUCCACCACUCGGUUGUCCUCGUCUCUAACCCCCCUUGAUGUUUAACUGGAGAAGAAAUUCCCUUAAAGGACCAACAUAUUUCUGGAGGAUUACACUUGUAACCUGGAGUCCUUCAAGGACCGUAUGUCACCAAAACCAAAACAAAAGUCUUCUCCUUUGAAAACUGUGACCUCAGGAAGGAGAGGGAAGCUUA